GGAGAGGUAGCGAAGUGGUUAAACGCUACUGACUGUAAAUCAGUUCCUUCGGGUUCGGGGGUUCGAAUCCCUCCCUCUCCA
rfam:Spiroplasma mirum ATCC 29335 strain SMCA, complete genome.